rnacentral:rRNA from 1 species
AAUGAAUUGACGGGGGCCCGCACAAGCGGUGGAGCAUGUGGUUUAAUUCGAUGCAACGCGAAGAACCUUACCUACUCUUGACAUCCAGAGAACUUUCCAGAGAUGGAUUGGUGCCUUCGGGAACUCUGAGACAGGUGCUGCAUGGCUGUCGUCAGCUCGUGUUGUGAAAUGUUGGGUUAAGUCCCGCAACGAGCGCAACCCUUAUCCUUGUUUGCCAGCGAGUAAUGUCGGGAACUCCAGGGAGACUGCCGGUGAUAAACCGGAGGAAGGUGGGGACGACGUCAAGUCAUCAUGGCCCUUACGAGU